AUCAUCUCUGUUCAUCUUCCACAUUCACUCCGAUCUAGUUUCACCCUUUGUAUUUCUUGUUGUUGUAUUGUACUGAUCUGCUGGUGUUGUUGGUGAGAUCUCAACUGUGAGAUCAAGCUUUGUAGAUCAGGUUGUUUCUUUCUGUAUUGUUCUUGUUUGUAUUGUAUUCAUAUAGAUCAACUGAUUAAAUCAGUUGAUCUGAACAUCUGUUCAUAUAGAUCUUACAUUUAGUAAGAUCAUUGGGUAUUGGGGGGUGUUUUCUGGUUUGGGUGAAUAAUAAGAUUUUGGUCACUGUUUUGUCGCUAUUGCUUUGUUCUUGUUCUGUGUGAUUGAUACCAUAAGUUUUCUACAUGGUAUCAGAGCUAAACAAGCUCUUGGUUGAUUGAUUGUUCUUCCGCUGUUUCAUAUCUCUUUUGUGUUUUUUCUUGUAGGUUGUCUUAGGGUUUCUGAUCUUGAGAAACCCUAGUUGGUUGAUCUUGGGGGUGAUAUUGAGUUAGGGUUUGUGAAACCCUAAUCGGAGGAUUUGCUUGGGUCCUUCAUUGGAAUCUGUGAGAAGACUGCGUUGGUCUCUGAAACCCUAGAAGGAUUCAGAGCAAACCAACCAGUGUUAGUUCAUUGCUGUUGGUGAUUGACUUGUAACCCUAGAAGGUUACAGUUGUCAUCUUGUGUGAAGACUUGCACCCACUAUUGAUAUAGUUGGAGGGCCUUAUUGCAACUUUCAUUGAGUCGGUGUAUAUUGGGAGAUAGUUCAAGGGUGCUGGAUGUAACAUUAGAUAUUUGUGGUAUAUAAUGAGAGUUUCUCUCUCAUUGUUCUAGAUCCAUCAUCUCUGUUCAUCUUCCACAUUCACUCCGAUCUAGUUUCACCCUUUGUAUUUCUUGUUGUUGUAUUGUACUGAUCUGCUGGUGUUGUUGGUGAGAUCUCAACUGUGAGAUCAAGCUUUGUAGAUCAGGUUGUUUCUUUCUGUAUUGUUCUUGUUUGUAUUGUAUUCAUAUAGAUCAACUGAUUAAAUCAGUUGAUCUGAACAUCUGUUCAUAUAGAUCUUACAUUUAGUAAGAUCAUUGGGUAUUGGGGGGUGUUUUCUGGUUUGGGUGAAUAAUAAGAUUUUGGUCACUGUUUUGUCGCUA